rnacentral:rRNA from 1 species
GGUUCGAGGUGGAAGCAUGGUGACAUGUGGAGCUGACGAAUACUAAUCGAUCGAAGACUUAAUCAA